CCUACGGGUUGCACCAGUGGGGAAUAUUGCACAAUGGGCGCAAGCCUGAUGCAGCCAUGCCGCGUGUAUGAAGAAGGUCUUCGGAUUGUAAAGCACUUUCGACGGGGACGAUGAUGACGGUACCCGUAGAAGAAGCCCCGGCUAACUUCGUGCCAGCAGCCGCGGUAAUACGAAGGGGGCUAGCGUUGCUCGGAAUGACUGGGCGUAAAGGGCGCGUAGGCGGUUUAUGCAGUCAGAUGUGAAAUCCCCGGGCUUAACCUGGGAACUGCAUUUGAGACGCAUAGACUAGAGGUCGAGAGAGGGUUGUGGAAUCCCCAGUGUAGAGGUGAAAUUCGUAGAUAUUGGGAAGAACACCGGUGGCGAAGGCGGCAACCUGGCUCGAUACUGACGCUGAGGCGCGAAAGCGUGGGGAGCAAACAGGAUUAGAUACCCGCGUAGUC
rnacentral:rRNA from 1 species